UGACUGAAGUUCAGAAGUGGCUCUUUUCACGAACACGUUGCCAUGCGUUGCAAUUUUCACGUUUGCGAAAUUUUCUCAACGCUGCUCUCGAUACUUAGGUAUCAUGGUUAUGCUAGCGAUUCUACAGGAUGGGCCAAAAAUCACUUC